rnacentral:rRNA from 1 species
CGUGACCNAACCCUGCCCCAUGCUCCAGAAUAGCUCUUGGAAACGGGUGGUAAUGCUGGAUGCUCCAACUUGACGCAUGUCUUGUUGGGAAAGUGUUUAGUGGGCAUGGGAUGGGGUCGCGUCCUAUCAGCUUGUAGGCGGGGUAAUGGCCCACCUAGGCUUCGACGGGUAGCCGGCCUGAGAGGGCGGACGGCCACAUUGGGACUGAGAUACGGCCCAGACUCCUACGGGAGGCAGCAGCC